UACGGGGGGAGCAAGCGUUGUUCGGAUUUACUGGGCGUAAAGGGCGCGUAGGCGGCCACCGCAAGCCGACUGUGAAAUCUCCGGGCUUAACCCGGAAAGGUCAGCCGAUACUGCGGGGCUAGAGUGCAGAAGGGGCAACUGGAAUUCUCGGUGUAGCGGUGAAAUGCGUAGAUAUCGAGAGGAACACCUGCGGCGAAGGCGGGUUGCUGGGCUGACACUGACGCUGAGGCGCGAAAGCUAGGGGAGCGAACGGG
rnacentral:rRNA from 1 species